UACGAAGGGGGCUAGCGUUGUUCGGAAUCACUGGGCGUAAAGCGCACGUAGGCGGAUUCUUAAGUCGGUGGUGAAAUCCCAAGGCUCAACCUUGGAAUUGCCUUCGAUACUGGGAAUCUUGAGUAUGGUAGAGGUUGGUGGAACUGCGAGUGUAGAGGUGAAAUUCGUAGAUAUUCGCAAGAACACCAGUGGCGAAGGCGGCCAACUGGACCAUAACUGACGCUGAGGUGCGAAAGCGUGGGGAGCAAACAGG
rnacentral:rRNA from 1 species